CGCGUAGGCGGUCGAGCGCGUCGAGGGUGAAAUCCCCGGGCUUAACCCGGGAACUGCCUUCGAUACGGCCCGACUGGAGUGCGGGAGGGGAGAGUGGAACUCCUGGUGGAGCGGUGAAAUGCGUAGAUAUCAGGAGGAACGCCGGUGGCGAAAGCGACUCUCUGGUCCGCAACUGACGCUGAGGCGCGAAAGCCAGGGGAGCAAACG
rnacentral:rRNA from 1 species